CCCUUAGAUGUUCUGGGCCGCACGCGCGCUACACUGAUGCAUUCAACGAGCUUUUCCUGGUCCGAGAGGAAUGGGUAACCUUUUGAAAGUGCAUCGUGCUAGGGAUAGACUAUUGCAAUUAUUGGUCUUCAACGAGGAAUUCCUAGUAGACGUAGUUCAUCAGACUGCAUCGAUUACGUCCCUGCCCUUUGUACACACCGCCCGUCGCUCCUACCGAUUGGAUGAUCCGGUGAGCUAUUCGGACCUUCGCUUCGUCGAUUUUCGGCUUUGUGAGGGAAAGUCUCGCGAACCUUAUCAUCUAGAGGAAGGAGAAGUCGUAACA
rnacentral:rRNA from 1 species